rnacentral:rRNA from 1 species
UACGGAGGGUGCAAGCGUUGCUCGGAAUCACUGGGCGUAAAGAGCGUGUAGGCGGUUUCGUAUGUCUGGCGUGAAAGCCCCGGGCUCACCCCGGGAAGUGCACUGGAAACUGCGAGACUAGAGUCCCGGAGAGGAAGGUGGAAUUCCAGGUGUAGCGGUGAAAUGCGUAGAUAUUUGGAAGAACACCGGUGGCGAAGGCGGCCUUCUGGACGGUGACUGACGCUGAGACGAGAAAGCGUGGGGAGCAAACAGG